rnacentral:rRNA from 1 species
UACGGAGGGUGCAAGCGUUAUCCGGAUUCACUGGGUUUAAAGGGUGCGUAGGCGGGCAGGUAAGUCAGUGGUGAAAUCUCCGAGCUUAACUCGGAACUGCCGUUGAUACUAUUUGUCUUGAAUAUUGUGGAGGUAAGCGGAAUAUGUCAUGUAGCGGUGAAAUGCUUAGAUAUGACAUAGAACACCAAUUGCGAAGGCAGCUUACUACACAACGAUUGACGCUGAGGCAUGAAAGCGUGGGGAUCAAACAGG